GGUUCCUCCGCGACGGGGGUGAGAGGAUGGCGACCUCGUCGAUGCCGGAGUCGGAGAGCGACGCAGCAGCCAGAGGCUCAGAGUGAAAGCCGCAUACCAUGCACGUUGCUGGCAGGCGGUCCCCCGCGCCAAUGGAGGAGAACGAGGUGGAGAGCAGUAGCGACGCGGCCCCUGGGCCGGGCCAGCCGGAGGAGCCCUCUGAGAGCGGCCUGGGUGUGGGCACCUCGGAAGCGGUGUCCGCGGACAGCAGCGACGCGGCGACCGCCCCAGAGUUAACGGAGGCCGACGACUCUGGCGUGGGGCAGAGCUCAGACAGUGGCAGCCGCUCUGUGGAGGAGGUAUCCGAGAGCAUUUCAGCAGACCCCUUGCCUCAUGGCUACCUCCCUGAUUCAUCUUCUGUGUCCCACGGAACAGUGGCAGAGGUGCCAGGUGGCCCCCCAGCCCUGGUGCAUUCCAGUGUUCUCCCAGACCCCAGCAUGCUGGUGUCAGACUGCGCAGCUUCCUCUUCAGACCUCGGUGCUGCCAUUGACAAGAUCAUUGAGUCUACUAUUGGUCCGGACCUCAUCCAGAGCUGCAUUACUGUGACCAGUGCUGAAGAAGGAGGAGCAGAAACCACCCAAUAUCUGAUCCUGCAGGGCCCAGAUGAUGGUGCUCCCAUUACAUCACCAAUGUCUACUUCCACCCUGACCAAUAGUCUGGCAGCCAUUGAAACCCUGGCGGAUGGCCCCACAUCUACAUCUACAUGCCUUGAGCCUCCUGAGGAGCCCCAGGGAGAACCUAGCUCUCUAGCACAGCCACCCCCAGCCUCUGGUGCUGACGAGCUGGACCUGCAGAGCCUAGAGGCCAUGAUGGAGGUGGUGGUUGUGCAGCAGUUCAAGUGCAAGAUGUGCCAGUACCGGAGCAGCACCAAGGCAACCCUCCUUCGCCACAUGCGGGAGCGGCACUUCCGCCCAGCAGCAGCAGCAGCAACAGCGGUAACAACAGCAACUGGUAAAAGGGGGCGUCUACGGAAGUGGGGCACAUCUACCAAGACCACAGAGGAGGAAGGGCCAGAGGAGGAGGAGGAUGACAUUGUGGAUGCUGGGGCCAUUGACGAUCUAGAGGAGGACAGUGACUACAAUCCAGCUGAGGAUGAGCCCCGGGGCCGGCAGCUGCGGCUCCAGCGUCCCACCCCUAGUACCCCAAGACCUCGAAGGAGGCCUGGCCGACCCCGAAAGCUGCCCUGCCUAGAGACUGCGGACCUCUAUGAUGGUGUAGGAGAGCCUCUAGUGAGUUCCCAGAGCACACAGAACCCUCCAGAACUGCAGGAUCUCGAGGCUCCCAGCUCCUCGGGCCCAGGAUGCCUAUGGGGCAAGGUGGGGAGAGGCCCAGUGGAAUCUGGUGUGAGUCAGUCGGAUGCCGAGAACGCAGCCCACUCUUGCAAGGAUGAACCUGACGCCCAACCCCGCCGCCGAGGGCGACCCUCCAGGAGGUUCCUAGGGAAGAAAUACCGAAAGUACUACUACAAGUCGCCCAAGCCGCUGCUCAGGCCUUACCUGUGCCGCAUAUGUGGCUCACGCUUCCUGUCCCUUGAGGAUCUGCGCUUCCACGUUAAUUCCCAUGAAGCUGGUGACCCACAGCUCUUCAAGUGCCUGCAGUGUAGCUACCGCUCCCGUCGCUGGUCCUCACUCAAGGAGCACAUGUUUAACCAUGUGGGCAGCAAGCCCUACAAGUGUGACGAGUGCAGCUACACCAGUGUCUACCGGAAGGAUGUCAUCAGACAUGCGGCCGUGCACAGCCGUGACCGAAAGAAGAGGCCAGAUCCGACCCCAAAGCUGAGCUCUUUCCCUUGCCCAGUGUGUGGCCGUGUGUAUCCCAUGCAAAAAAGACUAACACAGCACAUGAAGACUCACAGCACUGAGAAGCCACACAUGUGUGAUAAGUGUGGGAAGUCCUUUAAGAAGCGCUACACCUUCAAAAUGCACCUGCUCACACACAUCCAGGCUGUUGCUAACCGCAGGUUCAAAUGUGAGUUCUGCGAGUUUUUCUGUGAUGACAAGAAGGCACUAUUGAACCACCAGUUGUCCCAUGUUAGCGACAAGCCCUUCAAAUGCAGCUUUUGUCCCUACCGAACCUUCCGUGAGGAUUUCCUGCUAUCCCAUGUGGCUGUGAAGCACACAGGGGCCAAGCCCUUCGCCUGUGAGUACUGCCACUUCAGCACUCGGCACAAGAAGAACCUGCGCCUGCAUGUGCGAUGCCGACACGCGAACAGCUUUGAGGAGUGGGGACGGCGCCACCCUGAGGAGCCCCCCUCCCGCCGCCGCCCCUUCUUCUCCCUACAGCAGAUAGAAGAGCUGAAGCAGCAGCAUACUGCGGCUCCUGGCCUGCCCCCCAGCUUGCCAGGGCCUGAGGCCCCCCAAGAGCCAGCACCUUUCCAGUCACCUGAGACUCCCCCACUACUCUGUCCUGAUGCUCUAGGUGGUGCCACAAUCAUCUACCAACAAGGAGCUGAAGAGUCCACUGCGAUGGCCACUCAGACGGCCUUGGACCUGCUGCUGAACAUGAGCGCCCAACGGGAGCUGGGGGCGACAGCCCUGCAGGUGGCUGUGGUGAAGUCAGAGGGCAUGGAGGCAGAGUUGACGUCCACGUCUACUGGUAGGCAGCCUUCCCCUGAAGACACCACUCAACAGGUGGUGACACUUCGUGUAGCAGAGCCAGGGAGCAGUGUGGCAGCUGAGAGCCAGCUAGGCCCUCCUGAUCUACAGCAGAUUGCCUUGCCAUCUGGGCCAUUUGGUGGGGCCAGCUACAGUGUCAUCACAGCACCACCUCUGGAAGAGAGGACGUCAGCUCCUGGCACUCCUUACAGCGAAGAACCUCCUGGGCAGACAGCCCAGGCUGUGGUUAUGAGUGAGAAUCUCAAGGAGGCUGGCACCCACUACAUCAUGGCAGCUGAUGGAACCCAAUUGCACCACAUCGAGUUGACUGCAGAUGGCUCCAUCUCCUUCCCAAGUCCAGAUACUCUGGCCUCUGGAGCAAAGUGGCCCCUGUUGCAAUGUGGAGGGCCACCCAGAGAUGGUCCUGAGGUUCUGUCUCCAAUGAAGACUCACCGUGCGGGAGGCCCCCAGGGCUCUUCCACCCCAUCCCCUGCAGCUAUCAGCACCCUAGGCCUGGUAGUACCCACCUCCCCAUCAUCCGCAGCAGCUUUGUCAGCAAAGAAGUUCUCUUGCAAGGUGUGCUCAGAGGCCUUUGCUGGCCGAGCAGAGAUGGAGAGUCACAAGCGGGCCCAUGCUGGGCCUGCUGCCUUCAAGUGCCCUGACUGCCCCUUCAGUGCUCGCCAGUGGCCUGAGGUCCGGGCUCACAUGGCACAGCAUUCAAGCCUAAGGCCUCACCAGUGCAAUCAAUGUAGCUUCGCCUCCAAGAACAAGAAGGAUCUGAGGCGGCACAUGCUGACACACACCAACGAGAAACCUUUCUCAUGCCACCUCUGUGGGCAGCGUUUCAACCGGAAUGGGCACCUCAAAUUUCACAUCCAGAGGCUACAUAGCAGUGAAGGGAGAAAGACUGGGGGUUCUACAGCCCGAGCCCCAGCCCAGACCAUCAUCCUCAACAGUGAAGAGGAAACACUGACCACACUGCACACUGCCAUCCAGUCCAGUCAUGGUGUCCUAGGUCCAGAGCGGUUACAGCAGGCACUGAGCCAGGAACACAUCUUUGUGGCCCAGGAACAGACAGUGACCAAUCAGGAGGAAGCGGCCUACAUCCAGGAAAUCACCACGGCAGAUGGCCAGACAGUGCAGCACCUGGUCACCUCUGACAACCAGGUUCAGUAUAUCAUCUCUCAGGACGGCGUCCAGCAUCUACUGCCUCAGGAGUAUGUUGUGGUCCCUGAUGGCCAUCAUAUCCAGGUCCAGGAGGGCCAGAUCACACACAUCCAGUAUGAGCAAGGUACCCCAUUCCUGCAGGAAUCCCAGAUCCAGUAUGUACCUGUGUCCCCAGGCCAGCAGCUUGUCACCCAGGCUCAGCUUGAGGCUGCAGCACAUUCUGCUGUUACAGCAGUGGCUGAUGCUGCCAUGGCCCAAGUCCAGGGCCUAUUUGGCACUGAGGAAGCAGUGCCUGAACACAUCCAACAGCUGCAACACCAGGGCAUCGAGUACGACGUCAUUACCAUCACGGAUGAUUGAGCCUCAAAAGCCCAACGCUGAUCUUGGAUAUUGGGGCCAGCUCUCCUGGAGACUGGGGACUUUCCUGUCCUACUUAGGGCCUCCAGAUACUGGAUAAUCAGGCAGGAAAGCAGGCAGAUGUCUCAACAAGUGGAGGCUACCUGACUCCACAGUCAGCUGACCCACCUGUUCCAGUGGUCCAGUACAGGCCCAACCAACCUGACCCCAGGAAAUGACUGAGCUAAAGAGAACCGUGCUUUCUCCAUGGGCUCCCUGUCUCCAGGACCUGAAAGGGCAGAUGUGCUGGGAGCCACUGCGGUACUCGUGCUCAAAGGCAGGCAAGACCAGCUGGUGGCGUCUGAAGCGGCUCUGCUCCAUUCGGUUGGCAGCACACCCACCUCAAAGUGAGAGACCAUAGCAUCCAUGAGCUCCUCGCAGAACGGAGGGUUGGCCUCAAAGGAACCACUCAGCGGGGCGAAGUCCAGGCAGGGCCUACAGAAAGGUGAGCAUUGUAGUCCACCGGCACCGUCCCUCACACAUACUGCCCCACCUCUAGACAGCCACAAUGAAGAGAUGACCACAGUCAGGCCAGAGGCCAACAUUCACCCUAAUUGUGCUAGGGCAAAGAAGUGACCACGUCCCUCGAAUAGGUUACCUGAGGACAGAGGCUAGGUACGUGUGCCUGUAUCCACUAAGAUGAGGAACUGGAGUUCAGGGCCACCCCAGCAGAAGUCACACCCAGGGCUGCCCAGCUCAUGAACACAAGGCUCUCACUUUCCGCUGAGCACUUUCUUCCUACCGUUUACUUGGACAUCCUGUGCUCCUCACCCUGAUACUUU